rnacentral:RNase_P_RNA from 1 species
GGAAGAGGCAGAAUGGCUUACUGUGACAUCAUUUUUGAUUUAUCAUCUGUGAUGCCAUGGAGGAAAGUCCGCCCUCCGUCAAAUGAAACCGGUGUGAGCCGGUGCGUGAAAGCGUAGGCAAUGCAGCAGAAACGAAUGUCUCUCCGUAAAUAUAAUGAUACGUCAGUUGAAGUUCCGGAGAUGACAGUGAAACGGGCAUCCUUUCGGGAGCAAGGUUUAACCGCUUAGUCUGAUGCCAUCAAAACAUAAGGCGGCUUACUCGCCUCUUCA